UUGUUGUUGACAGGCUGCAAAGAGAAGCUUAGAUUUCAUUUUGGACACUGUAUCAGCAGAUCAUGCUCUAUUGCCCAUAUUGGAAUUACUCAAAGUAAAUGGGACUCUAUUUAUCGUUGGUGCACCUGACAAGCCAUUACAAUUGCCUGCAUUUCCAUUGAUAUUUGGUAAAAUUAAUUAUUGAUUAUUCAAGAGUAGAUUAGUAGUAGUAUUAAAUACUAAAUGCAAUUUGUUGUUGUUGAUUUAUUAUUAAUUUUGACAGGGAAAAGAUCCAUAAAAGGUGGAAUCAUAGGAGGAAUAAAAGAGACUCAAGAAAUGUUGGAUGUUUGUGGGAAGCAUAAUAUCACAUGUGACAUUGAAUUAAUCAAAGCUGAUACAAUCAAUGAAGCUUUUCAGCGUCUUUUGAAGAAUGAUGUUCGUUACCGUUUUGUCAUUGACAUUGCUAAUGCUUCCCCUGCAACCUAACCUAAAACCCUUUGCUUUGGGAAUGAUAUAUAUAUAUAUAUAUAUAUCAUGGAUAACUGUUUUGUUUUUGUUGUUGUAAGACUCAGUUCAAAAAUACACCCUAGUCUAUCUAUUUUAAUAAGAUUACUUAUCUAUCCUAUCCUAUCCUUGAAUAUUACUCGGAUUGGUCCUUUAAUAAUGGAGUACUUGGUCAUUCAUUUUAAAAACUAUCGGUUUUGGUCCCUUUCUUAUAGUAUUUUUAUUUUUUUUUAAACUCAAAAAGGAUGAUUUUAUAUGUUUUAUAAGUCAUAUAAAUAUAAAUUUCAGGGGUUUGCAUUCCAAGUUGGUUUACAAAUUGAAAGUAAAUUAAAACUUAAAUUUAGAAUCAAGACGAACAAUUAAGAUUGUCUGAAUCCCUCUAUGUUCCUGUUGGGUAAUUUGAUAUCCUAAAUAAUAUCAACUUUGUUCCUCUGUUCAUGAUACUAGUAUUAUCAAGAGUUUGACGCUAGUUAAUUUCCUAUGUCUAGAUAAAUUAAUCAGAGAGCAUUAUAUCUAGUUCUAGUUACAAAACCUAGUGUUAAUUGUGAUUUGUAUUUUAAAAUUAGUUUACAGUUGAUCAAACAAUAAAAAUCAUUCAACACAAGAUAAUGAAUAAACAUAUUUAUAGAUUGCAUUAAAGAGGACUCAUAUAUAUAUAUAUAUAUAUAUAUAUAUAUAUAUAUAUAUAUAUAUAUAUAUAUAUAUCACAUGGUUUUAAACAGUACCAUAGAUGUUUAUUAUUCAAUCAUAAUCUAAUGAGUAAUACAUGCAAAUAGAGUGACGAGUUUUCAAUCUUGUUGCCAAGGGUUGAAAAUUGCCUCUUAUGGUUGUUAGGAUCACAUCUUAUGCCUUCACGGCUAAAAGCCUUAUGUUAAUUGGGUGGUAAAUGAUUAUGCUGCUAGCUAGCUCUUGUGUGUAACAAAUCUUAAAACAAAUGGUAGUUUCUUAUUAAAUUUAGGCAUACUAGCAAGGUAAGGUCACUAAAAUUAUAAGCAAGGGUCGGUCCAAGGGUAAGGUCACCAAAGCUCUGGCUUUAGACAUACAAACAAACAAAUAUUUUUUAUUAAAUUUUAUAAGCAAAAAAAUCUUAUGUGGAGACAAAAAAAGCUUCAUAUAACAAAACUUGCUUUAGGCCUUAGUUAAUUUUGAAGAUUAUUGGGCUGACUCCCAAUGAAAGGAGGGGAAAAUUAACCUUCAUGUUCAAAUAACACUUACAUUUACAUUUGCAUCCCUACAAGGGCAUUAGUAAUAGUGUGAUUCAAACCCGAGACCCGGGUUGUAAAAUCUAUCUUUUUAUUACUAGACCAAACGUUUAAAAUUUAUAAUUGUUAACUAGAUAUAAAUUUGAAAGUUGUAGAAAAAACUAUCUGCAUGACCUUCAAGUAAAACUCUCUAACCUUUGAAAAAUUUAUGUUCCUGGAAAUUGCUGACUUCGAGCGCAUGACCUUCAAACAAAACUCUCUAACCUUUAGAAAAUUUCUGGUUCUUGGAAAUUGCUGAUUUUGUAUAGAGGGUUUUUUGAAUUCAACUUGUCCAACCCAGAUGAUCUUCAAUGAAAGUUGUCGUGAUUUUGAGAAGCUAGAUGUCCAUAAGCAAUCAUUGAAAUGGAAAUCGUACAAACAUUUCUUUAGUGCCAUAUAAUGUUUUCUAUUGGUAAAAAUAUUAAAUGUGGUCAUAUCUUACUUACAC
rnacentral:lncRNA from 1 species